AAGACCUUGCACUUUUGGAGCGGCCGAUGUCUAAUUAGCUAGUUGGUGGGGUAAUGGCCUACCAAAGCUUCGAUCAGUAGCUGGUCUGAGAGGACGGCCAGCCACACUGGGACUGAGACACGGCCCAGACUCCUACGGGAGGCAGCAGUGGGGAAUUUUGGACAAUGGGCGCAAGCCUGAUCCAGCCAUGCCGCGUGAGUGAAGAAGGCCUUCGGGUUGUAAAGCUCUUUCAGRCGGGAAGAAAAGGUUGCGACUAAUAAUCGCAAUUCAUGACGGUACCGAAAGAAGAAGCACCGGCUAACUACGUGCCAGCAGCCGCGGUAAUACGUAGGGUGCGAGCGUUAAUCGGAAUUACUGGGCGUAAAGGGUGCGCAGGCGGUUUUGUAAGUCAGAUGUGAAAUCCCCGGGCUUAACCUGGGAACU
rnacentral:rRNA from 1 species